rnacentral:rRNA from 1 species
AGUUGGUGGAGUGAUUUGUCUGCUUAAUUGCGAUAACGAACGAGACCUUAACCUACUAAAUAGCGCGACUAGCUUUUGCUGGUGCUGACGCUUCUUAGAGGGACUAUCGAUUUCAAGUCGAUGGAAGUUUGAGGCAAUAACAGGU